UCUCGGAAAGCUGACUGUGCUCACACUAGCGGGAGCAGUGUAGAGCCAGUCAUCAAAGGAUCUUUGUCAACAAGGCGAUAAAGACCUUAAGGAUGGACAGAGUGGCAGUAAUCUGUUUAUUCCAUAAAGCUGUGGUUGCCUGGAUCUAAGCCAUCAGGCUGAUGGAUAGGUCCAGAGCAAGCCCAAGCACCUGGAUGUGGUGCUGGAGCCCCUGUCGGUCUCCGAAAGCUAACUGCUUUGCACACUUGAUAUUCAGUGUGGGGCAGUCCAAUAGGAUCAGGUCACCAAGAUCCUACGGGUGGGACAUAGUGGCAGGACUAUAGUCUCCGUAGAGCAGGGCAUGUCCAUAUGGCAAGUAAGAUGUGCGAGAUCCACGCUUUGGCUGCAUCACAAGCAUGAGUGCCAUGUCCUUCAGGGGAAUGUCUAACGUCAGGACAUUCACCGGGUCAGGGUUCCAAAGGGAGCGUGAUCUCACUCUGGAUAGAUGACAUAGCAAUGGGGAUCUUUGUUAUCUCAAGAUGGUUCAUUCAUUUCUCAAUUCGUUCCGUCCCUUCCUUGACAAUGUUUAACUCAUGGCACAGACAUGAAUCUGGUACAAGUUAAGCAAUACAGCAUCAUGAUUGGAGCGCCAGGUCUGUGUGGUCCAGGCCUGGUAAUCCAAUGGACCACCAUGUGUCAGACUGUUAUUGCUUGUAAAUCUUGUAUAGGGUGAUUGUUUGUGUCUUGAGUUGAAUACUUGGAGAGGAAUGGACGGAUCUAGUUGAGACUUGAAUUAGCCAUCUUGUGAUUUCCGAUAUCUUUAUUGCUUUGAAGUCUAUUUGGAGUCAAGGUUGCGUAAACUUGAAGAAUCCUGGCUAUAAGGAUGGACUGCCAUGCCCCACCAAACCUCAGACGGGAUCGGACGGGAACGGACGGGACCCAGACCAUCUUUUUCUCUUUUUUUU